rnacentral:lncRNA from 1 species
GGGUUGUAGGUAGUAGAUAUGGGUUGUAGGUAGUAGUUCUGGGCUAUGGGUUGUAGGUAGUAGAUAUGGGUUGUAGGUAGUAGAUAUGGGUUGUAGGUAGUAGGAAUGGGCUAUGGGUUGUAGGUAGUAGAUAUGGGUUAUAGGUAGUAGAUAUGGGUUGUAGGUAGUAGUUCUGGGCUAUGGGUUGUAGGUAGAAGAUAUGGGUUGUAGGUAGUAGAUAUGGGUUGUAGGUAGUAGAUAUGGGUUGUAGGUAGUAGAUAUGGGUUGUAGGUACUAGUUUUGGGCUAUGGGUUGUAGGUAGUAGAUACUGGUUGUAGGUAGUAGAUAUGGGUUGUAGGUACUAGUUUUGGGCUAUGGGUUGCUUCCCAAAUGGUACUUUAUUCCCUACAUGGCCAUUUUGGGAUAUAGCCAUAGUCCACUCUAAAUUUUACAACGUAAAAUGUUGUAUAAAAACAAUGUAUUUUAUUGUCA